UCAUAACUACUACUCCAUAUGCUGAAACAACUGAAACUGACAGUGAAAAUUUAAUAGUUAAUAGCACAAAACCACUUGGACCAUAUCCGAAUGCUGCAUAUAAUAAUGAAUAUUUAAAUACUUUAUCAAUAACUGUAGCUCCGAUACAAAACAAUUUGACAGUCCCUAAUUCUGACGAUAGAUGGCAAAACUUUAGUCAAUCUUCAAAUGAAUUUGGAAGUAAUACUACAAACAAUAAUAUAAAUACAGCAACAAAUAUUGUUUAUCCAUCAACAGAAACUUAUUUGACAGAAAUGAGAAAUUCGUAUCCAUAUCCAAGGUCUUGGUAUAAUUCAAAGGUAGAUCGACUGUCUAUAACGACAAAUUCCUAUACAAACGAAGAAGCUGCUUUACCGCCUUCUUACGAUGAUCGAUGGCAAAGAUUUUCCUCAUUAAGAAAAUUAUAUCAAUCGUCUGGCUUUCGACCUCUCGCUGGCUUGUACUAUGAUGGAUUUCUACACAAAUCUUUAACUAAAGAGAUGGGAUUUAUUCCGUACCAUCAAAAUGGUUAUUAUUAUAAUUGAUGAUGUACCAUGAUUUUUUUGUAAGUAUUUAAUCCGCCGCGCUGCUCCAGUGCGGGUUAGUGGAUGGAUGACAUAUGGCAGAAUAUCAGAUUUCCUCACAAAUUUCUCCUUUCCCGCUGAGCACAAGAUGAAUAUUGAAAAUUAAGCACAUGAAAACUGAACGGCGCUCACCUGGAUUUGACUCGACUCGACUCAGUAAAUACAUUCCUUUUUUUAAAUGUAAAUUUAUCUGAAUUAAUUUACGUAUCUAAUAAGUGUCUACAAAGUUUUAUUAAUUAAUAUGUAAUAUUAAUUAAAUCAGUUUAUAAGCUUUUAUUGUAUUUUAUAUUAAAUCGUUCACAUAGAUA